AUGGUGAUCAAGACCCAAAAUGGACAAGUUCUGAAAAAAGACAAGGAGGUCAUUGCUAGCCUACUCGAUACAACCGUAAGAACUGUUGAGAGAAUAUGGGAAAGAGCUCUUAAACAGAUUGAAAAAGGGGAGAAAGUUGAUGUCUCAAAUCAAAAGCCAGGUAGAGUUGGCCGCAAGCGGAAAGAUUUGGAUCUGUCGAGGAUGGUGACAAUCCCAUUGAACAGAAGGAGAACAUUGCGAGGUCUGUCAAAGGCAUUGGGUGUAAGCUGCACGACCUUACACUCAAGGUUCGAGUGGGGUCAUUUGAGGCGUCACAGUAAUAAGUUGAGGCCCCACUUAAACCUAUCCAACAUUGUAAAGAGAUUGAAAUGGUGCUUGGCUAUGUGUGAAGAUUAUUGGUCUGCGACACGGGAAUUAGACAACAUAGCCUACAUGGAUGAAAAGUGGUUCAACAUGACUGGGGAGGUGAACAACUACUAUUUGCUUCCCGAAGAACCCGACCCCUUGCGCACCUUGCAUCAUAAGGAUAACAUCGCCAAGGUGAUGUUUCUCGCAGCCGUGGCUAAACCAAGAUACGGCAAAGGUGGUGAGGUCACUUUUGAUGGAAAGCUCGGCAUUUGGGCUUUUGUCAUAGAGUCUCCUGCUCAAAGAACCAGUGAAAACAGAGAUAAAGGGACGCUCGAGCUCAAAUCAUUGAAAGUCACACGAGAUGUAAUGAGGUAUUACAUGUGUGAGAAACUUAUUCCUGCGAUCCAAGAGCGCUGGCCGGACGAAGAUGAAGGACGACAAUCUAUAUCCAACAAGAUAAUGCCACGCCACAUAUUCUUCCCGAUGACCCGGUUUUCCGACAAGUCAUAG
rnacentral:rRNA from 1 species